rnacentral:rRNA from 1 species
UACGGAGGGUGCGAGCGUUAUUCGGAAUUAUUGGGCGUAAAGAGCGCGUAGGCGGUCUCUUAAGUCAGAUGUGAAAGCCCAGGGCUCAACCCUGGAAGUGCAUUUGAAACUAAGAGGCUUGAGUAUGGGAGAGGGAAGUAGAAUUCCUGGUGUAGCGGUGAAAUGCGUAGAUAUCAGGAGGAACACCGGUGGCGAAGGCGACUUCCUGGACCAAUACUGACGCUGAGGCGCGAAGGCGUGGGGAGCAAACAGG